UGGGAUUUAUUUACAAUGGUUG
rnacentral:siRNA from 1 species